UACGUAGGGUGCAAGCGUUAAUCGGAAUUACUGGGCGUAAAGCGUGCGCAGGCGGCUUUGCAAGUCAGAUGUGAAAUCCCCGGGCUUAACCUGGGAACUGCAUUUGUGACUGCAUGGCUGGAGUGCGGCAGAGGGGGAUGGAAUUCCGCGUGUAGCAGUGAAAUGCGUAGAUAUGCGGAGGAACACCGAGGGCGAAGGCAAUCCCCUGGGCCUGCACUGACGCUCAUGCACGAAAGCGUGGGGAGCAAACAGG
rnacentral:rRNA from 1 species